AGAUCACUUUCAACAACGGAUCUCUUGGCUCUCGCAUCGAUGAAGAACGCAGCGAAAUGCGAUAAGUAGUGUGAAUUGCAUAAUUUGUGAAUCAUCGAAUCUUUGAACGCAAAUUGCACUCCCUGGUAUUCCGGGGAGUAUGCCUGUUUGAGGGUCGU
rnacentral:rRNA from 1 species